rnacentral:rRNA from 1 species
AGCAGCCGCGGUAAUUCCAGCUCCAAUAGCGUAUAUUAAAGUUGUUGCAGUUAAAAAGCUCGUAGUUGAAUUUCGGGAUCGAAUUGUUGGUCGUGCUUCGGUACGCACUGGCAUUAUCGGUUUCUACCUUCUGAAGAACCGCGAUGUCAUUAAUUUGGUGUCGUGGGGAAUCAGGACUGUUACUUUGAAAAAAUUAGAGUGUUUAAAGCAGGCUUACGCUUGAAUACAUUAGCAUGGAAUAAUGAAAUAGGACGUUUGAUUCUAUUUUGUUGGUUUCUAGGAUCGACGUAAUGAUUAAUAGGGAUAGUUGGGGGCAUUAGUAUCCAAUUGUCAGAGGUGAAAUUCUUGGAUUUAUUGAAGACUAACUACUGCGAAAGCAUUUGCCAAGGAUGUUUUCAUUAAUCAAGAACGAAAGUUAGGGGAUCGAAGACGAUCAGAUACCGUCGUAGUCUUAACCAUAAACUAUGCCGACUAGGGAUCGGAUGAUGUUAAUUUUUUAAUGACUC